AAACCCUGUGGGAAGCAGGAGGGACCACCCUCCAAGGCUAAAUACUACCUAGUGACCGAUAGCGUAUAGUACCGCGAGGGAAAGGUGAAAAGAACCCCGGGAGGGGAGUGAAAUAGAACCUGAAACCAUGCACUUACAAGCUGUGGAAGCACAUUUCUUGUGUGACCGCGUACUUUUUGUAGAACGGGCCAACGAGUUACGU
rnacentral:rRNA from 1 species